UACGCAGGGGGCUAGCGUUGUUCGGAUUUACUGGGCGUAAAGCGCACGUAGGCGGAUCGAUCAGUCAGGGGUGAAAUCCCAGAGCUCAACUCUGGAACUGCCUUUGAUACUGUCGAUCUGGAGUAUGGAAGAGGUGAGUGGAAUUCCGAGUGUAGAGGUGAAAUUCGUAGAUAUUCGGAGGAACACCAGUGGCGAAGGCGGCUCACUGGUCCAUUACUGACGCUGAGGUGCGAAAGCGUGGGGAGCAAACAGG
rnacentral:rRNA from 1 species